GUCAUAAAUAGAGGUGCAGAUAAAGUUGGUAGUUCAUAGAUGUUAAGGAGAAAAACCUCCAAUGAUUUGAACAAAGUGUUUAUUUGCCGAAAGAAUAUAUAGUUUUUUAUAUAUUACUUGGGGGUAGAGGGUAAUCUUCUAUCACUGCCAUAAAUAAUUUAUGGAGAGCUAUUUAUGUG
rnacentral:ncRNA from 2 species